GACGAACGCUGGCGGCGUGCUUAACACAUGCAAGUCGAACGGAAAGGCCCUGCUCUUGCGGGGUGUUCGCGUGGCGAACGGGUGUGUAACACGUGAGUAACCUGCCCUUGACUUUGGGACAUCUUCAGGAAACUGGGGCUAAUACCUGCUAGGAGCUCCUGCUGCAUGGUGGGGGUUGGAACGUUUCGGCGGUUGGGGAUGGACGCGCGGCUUAUCAGCUUGUUGGUGGGGUAGUGGCUUACCAAGGCUUUGACGGGUAGCCGGCCUGAGAGUGUGACCGGCCACAUUGGGACUGAGAUACGGCCCAGACUCCUACGGGAGGCAGCAGUGGGGAAUAUUGCACAAUGGGCGGAAGCCGGAUGCAGCAACGCCGCGUGCGGGAUGACGGCCUUCGGGUUGUAAACCGCUUUCGCCUGUGACGAAGCGUGAGUGACGGUAAUGGGUAAAGAAGCACCGGCUAACUACGU
rnacentral:rRNA from 1 species